CCUGUUGCUACAUAGCAGGAUGUCAUUGAGCCAACGAUAUUCAUAGCUCCAAGUGCCACCAUCUCUUUGUUUCCGUCCAACUGGUAGUCCUUCAUGGAUGCAAAGGUUCUCCCAAUUGCGACAGCUUCCUGUGAAAAAGAAGAAGAAGGAUUUAUUCCUGUGUCAAUGUGUCCUACCUGGUAAGGUCAUCAUAGAAGUUGAUUAGAAAGAGCCCAUUUUACGCCAAAUGAUGAAAAGUGAAAGUAUGAACAUCCUACAAGCACUUACAAUGGCAACUCCCUUCUUGUCAGCAUGGGUAAUGUAGACAAAGAAAGUCGAAAGAACGACAGAAAUCAAAGGAGCAAUUGCAGGUACCCAAAACAGCCUUUUAUUCUUCUUUCCCUGGUUGUUAAAAUAUUUUAGAGUUAAGCAAAGGCCCCAAAUGCUUUAAAAUUUUAGUCGAUAGAACUCAGGACUCUUACAAUGUACUUUGCGAACAAAAGGAAAGUUAAAAAGGUUGAUCCGA